GAACGAACGCUGGCGGCAGGCCUAACACAUGCAAGUCGAACGCCCGUAGCAAUACGGGAGUGGCAGACGGGUGAGUAACGCGUGGGAACGUGCCCUUCGGUUCGGAAUAACUCAGGGAAACUUGAGCUAAUACCGGAUACGUCCGUAAGGAGAAAGAUUUAUCGCCGAAGGAUCGGCCCGCGUCGGAUUAGCUAGUUGGUGGGGUAACGGCCCACCAAGGCGACGAUCCGUAGCUGGUCUGAGAGGAUGAUCAGCCACACUGGGACUGAGACACGGCCCAGACUCCUACGGGGAGGCAGCAGUGGGGAAUAUUGGACAAUGGGCGAAGCCUGACCCAGCCAUGCCGCGUGAGUGAAGAAGGCCUUAGGGUUGUAAAGCUCUUUCAGCGGGGAAGAUAAUGACGGUACCCGCAGAAGAAGCCCCGG
rnacentral:rRNA from 1 species